ACUAGCUACUGACUGGCCCAUCUCAUUCAUUUUCUAACUCCCUCUUUGUCUCUCCUACAUGCAAACAUAUCACAAGGCAAGAUUGUCCUCUACAACAAAUUUAUCUUAGCCAGCCAAAACACUCUCUCUCUCUCUCCACAAAAUGGAAGGCAGGCUUGUUAUGCAUAACAUUAUACCUUUCUCAACACAGGCUUGCCGGAGAGACCUGAACCGGGGAAAGCAGUGUCUGUCCAUUGUCUCAGUGCUGACCCAGCCUGUGAAUGAUCAAGUAGGGAAAUUAUCGAGCUCGAAGGCUGUUUACAAGGACAACUUCUUUGAACUCGUCGCCAUUAACUACAUCUCCAAAAUCGUUCAAGCUUCAACGGGGUUCACAAACAACAGGAGUGGCUAUGAUAGCUUUGUGGAAGCAGCUACUGGGUUAUGGAGCAACUUCAAUCCCGUUCAACAACAUGAGAUAGUCGCAAAAAUUCUUGAUAAGGCCAUUCCUAGGCCUAUUCUUGCCAUGAUCAGGACAUUGCUACCAAAUUCUAAAUUCACCAGGGAACUUUUUGCUGUUUUCACCACUUUGUGUUUCGCUUGGUUAAUCGGACCAAACGAGGUGAGGGAAUCGAAGCUUGACGGUCGAAGAGAAAGGAAUGUAGUCCACAUUAAAAAGUGCAGGUUUCUGGAGGAGUCCAAUUGUGUAGGAAUGUGCAUCAACCUCUGCAAGAUGCCAUCUCAAAAGUUCAUGAAGGACACCUUGGGCGUGCCAGUCAACAUGGUCCCUAGUAUAUUUUGAUGAUAUGAGCUGUGAGAUGGUAUUUGGUCAAGAACCUCCUGCAACUGCUGAAGAUCCAGCAUUUAAGCAGCCAUGCUACAAACUAUGCAAAGUAAACAAAAGGCACAGCUCAAAUUGUCCCAGAUAAUUCAAGGAACUUGCCACCACCCUUCACCCGCCGGGAAAAAAACAAAAAGGAAGAAUAAGAUAUAUGCGUGUGUGUGUGUGUG